UACGGAGGGUGCAAGCGUUGUCCGGAAUCACUGGGCGUAAAGGGCGCGUAGGCGGCUCAUGAAGGCUGUGGUGAAAGUCCGGGGCUCAACCUCGGAUCGGCCGUGGCGACUCGUGGGCUGGAGCACUGUAGAGGCGGGUGGAAUUCCGGGUGUAGUGGUGAAAUGCGUAGAGAUCCGGAGGAACACCAGUGGCGAAGGCGACACGCUGGGCCGUACCUGACACUGAACCGCGACAGCAUGGGGAGCAAACAGG
rnacentral:rRNA from 1 species